rnacentral:rRNA from 1 species
UACGUAGGUGGCAAGCGUUGUCCGGAUUUACUGGGCGUAAAGAGCGCGCAGGCGGUCGUUCAAGUCGCGUGUGAAAGCCCCCGGCUCAACUGGGGAGGGUCACGCGAUACUGAUCGACUCGAAGGCAGGAGAGGGUAGUGGAAUUCCCGGUGUAGUGGUGAAAUGCGUAGAUAUCGGGAGGAACACCAGCGGCGAAGGCGGCGACCUGGACAAGUACUGACACUCAACUACGAAAGCGUGGGGAGCAAACAGG